UACGUAGGGGGCAAGCGUUGUCCGGAUUUAUUGGGCGUAAAGAGCGUGUAGGCGGCCAGACAGGUCCGUUGUGAAAACUCGAGGCUCAACCUCGAGAUGUCGAUGGAAACCGUCUGGCUAGGAGUCCGGAAGAGGAGUGUGGAAUUCCUGGUGUAGCGGUGAAAUGCGCAGAUAUCAGGAAGAACACCUAUGGCGAAGGCAGCACUCUGGGACGGUACUGACGCUGAGACGCGAAAGCGUGGGGAGCGAACAGG
rnacentral:rRNA from 1 species